AUUGAACGCUGGCGGCAGGCCUAACACAUGCAAGUCGAGCGGCAGCACAAGGGAGUUUACUCCUGAGGUGGCGAGCGGCGGACGGGUGAGUAAUGCCUAGGGAUCUGCCCAGUCGAGGGGGAUAACAGUUGGAAACGACUGCUAAUACCGCAUACGCCCUACGGGGGAAAGAGGGGGACUUUCGGGCCUCUCGCGAUUGGAUGAACCUAGGUGGGAUUAGCUAGUUGGUGAGGUAAUGGCUCACCAAGGCGACGAUCCCUAGCUGUUCUGAGAGGAUGAUCAGCCACACUGGGACUGAGACACGGCCCAGACUCCUACGGGAGGCAGCAGUGGGGAAUAUUGCACAAUGGGGGAAACCCUGAUGCAGCCAUGCCGCGUGUGUGAAGAAGGCCUUCGGGUUGUAAAGCACUUUCAGUAGGGAGGAAAGGUUGUAAGUUAAUACCUUGCAGCUGUGACGUUACCUACAGAAGAAGGACCGGCUAACUCCGUGCCAGCAGCCGCGGUAAUACGGAGGAUCCAAGCGUUAAUCGGAAUUACUGGGCGUAAAGCGUGCGCAGGCGGUUUGUUAAGCGAGAUGUGAAAGCCCCGGGCUCAACCUGGGAAUUGCAUUUCGAACUGGCAAACUAGAGUCUUGUAGAGGGGGGUAGAAUUCCAGGUGUAGCGGUGAAAUGCGUAGAGAUCUGGAGGAAUACCGGUGGCG
rnacentral:rRNA from 1 species